AGCGGCGGAUGGGUGAGUAACACGUGGGGAACCUGCCCCUAAGUCUGGGAUACCAUUUGGAAACAGGUGCUAAUACCGGAUAAUAAAGCAGAUCGCAUGAUCAGCUUUUGAAAGGCGGCGUAAGCUGUCGCUAAGGGAUGGCCCCGCGGUGCCUUAGCUAGUUGGUAAGGUAACGGCUUACCAAGGCGACGAUGCAUAGCCGAGUUGAGAGACUGAUCGGCCACAUUGGGACUGAGACACGGCCCAAACUCCUACGGGAGGCAGCAGUAGGGAAUCUUCCACAAUGGACGCAAGUCUGAUGGAGCAACGCCGCGUGAGUGAAGAAGGUUUUCGGAUCGUAAAGCUCUGUUGUUGGUGAAGAAGGAUAGAGGUAGUAACUGGCCUUUAUUUGACGGUAAUCAACCAGAAAGUCACGGCUAACUACGUGCCAGCAGCCGCGGUAAUACGUAGGUGGCAAGCGUUGUCCGGAUUUAUUGGGCGUAAAGCGAGCGCAGGCGGAAAAAUAAGUCCAAUGUGAAAGCCCUCGGCUUAACCGAGGAACUGCAUCGGAAACUGUUUUUCUUGAGUGCAGAAGAGGAGAGUGGAACUCCAUGUGUAGCGGUGGAAUGCGUAGAUAUAUGGAAGAACACCAGUGGCGAAGGCGGCUCUCUGGUCUGCAACUGACGCUGAGGCUCGAAAGCAUGGGUAGCGAACAGGAUUAGAUACCCUGGUAGUCCAUGCCGUAAACGAUGAGUGCUAAGUGU
rnacentral:rRNA from 1 species